rnacentral:misc_RNA from 1 species
GUGAGUCAUCGAAUCUUUGAACGCACAUUGCACUCUCUGGUAUUCCGGAGAGUAUGCUUGUUUGAGUAUCUGUAAACAUCUCAAAUCUCUCUGCGCUUGCGUUUGAGAGAAUUGGAUUUGAGCGAUCCCGACUCCUUCGACAGAAAGAGGAGGGUCGCUUGAAAUGCAGGUGCAGCUGGACAUUCUUCUGAGCUAAAAGCAUAUCUAUUUAGUCCCGUCAAACGGAUUAUUACUUUUGCUUCAGCUUAUAUAAAGGUCGAAUGAACUACCAACGCUGAUUGCAGGAAAACUCGUUCGUAA